GGGAACUGCGUUNUGAACUGGGUGACUAGAGUGUGUCAGAGGGAGGUAGAAUUCCACGUGUAGCAGUGAAAUGCGUAGAGAUGUGGAGGAAUACCGAUGGCGAAGGCAGCCUCCUGGGAUAACACUGACGUUCAUGCCCGAAAGCGUGGGUAGCAAACAGGAUUAGAUACCCUGGUAGUCCACGCCCUAAACGAUGUCGAUUAGCUGUUGGGCAGCACGACUGCUUAGUAGCGAAGCUAACGCGUGAAAUCGACCGCCUGGGGAGUACGGUCGCAAGAUUAAAACUCAAAGGAAUUGACGGGGACCCGCACAAGCGGUGGAUGAUGUGGAUUAAUUCGAUGCAACGCGAAGAACCUUACCUGGUCUUGACAUGUACGGAACCCUCCAGAGACGGAGGGGUGCCUUCGGGAGCCGUAACACAGGUGCUGCAUGGCUGUCGUCAGCUCGUGUCGUGAGAUGUUGGGUUAAGUCCCGCAACGAGCGCAACCCUUGUCAUUAGUUGCCAUCAUUAAGUUGGGCACUCUAAUGAGACUGCCGGUGACAAGCCGGAGGAAGGUGGGGAUGACGUCAAGUCCUCAUGGCCCUUAUGACCAGGGCUUCACACGUCAUACAAUGGUCGGUACAGAGGGUAGCCAAGCCGCGAGGUGGAGCCAAUCUCACAAAACCGAUCGUAGUCCGGAUUGCACUCUGCAACUCGAGUGCAUGAAGUCGGAAUCGCUAGUAAUCGCAGGUCAGCAUACUGCGGUGAAUACGUUCCCGGGUCUUGUACACACCGCCCGUCACACCACGAAAGUCGGAAGUGCCCAAAGCCGGUGGGGUAACCUUCGGGAGCCA
rnacentral:rRNA from 1 species